rnacentral:lncRNA from 1 species
CACCAGAUCUGUGCAACAGAGCCAACCGGAUUGCCACCUUCCAUACCUCUAGUCGGUCGUUGCGUGUGGUGAUCCAUCUAUCGAACAUUCCUGUGCUGCAGGGUGCGCCAUCUUUAUCAAGCUAGUGCCGCAAGCAUCACCGCUCAGCCAGUAGGCGCAACUGAUAUCAACCAGCAGGAAUCGCCCCUGUGCCCUUCUUUCACUUGGGAAGCCGGUGCUUUUAGCAAGUGAGGCUGCAAAGUAAUGGAGUUUUCAUAUAUGACUAUCGUAUUAGUCAUACAAGCUUCGUUUUUUGUGCGCACCAGCGUUGCACUAGAAUGUCCAGUGAGAGUCAAUCCCCGUAGCGGGCGCUGCAAUGUUUUCGGCUUGUCUGUAGCACGUGGUUAUACUCUGGUUUCCGCACAUCCAUGUGUUAAAGUAACUUGUCCGCUAGCUGGAGGAGACGUGCGGGUGUCAGGAUGCAGCACAGACGCUGGAGACCAGCAAGUUCCUCCAGGAUCACCGCAGCAUGGAGCCCUUCUGCCUUACCCAGCCUGCUGUCGGAGCUGCGGCGCGUAUCGUCAAAUUGGUUAACUUAAUGCAUGCGUUCCUUAAACAUCACAUCCCCGUGUUUCCAUACUCUAUAUAUGAAUAUACUGAGUACUGAGAUAAAAAAUACGGCUUCAUUUGACUUUUUUAUAAAAACCUUUAUGCUGACAUUAUUUUUACUGGAAAUUCUGUGCUGUUUUCAUGUUUAAAGACUGCACGUGCCAACACGGAUACAAGCGAGAA